rnacentral:lncRNA from 1 species
CUCGAGGAUAAUUCCUUAACCGAAGGGAAAGAAGGGAAGAGCGCCGGGGAGAGCUCGGUCAGUGCUCGGAGGGGGACUGGCCUAGAGCGGUCACUAGAAAGGCGAGGACCCGCGAAACCGAGUAUACACAUUCCCAGCAGCUCUGUCUUUCCAGGCACGCGGAGUAAGUUGGCUGGAACUCCCCGUGACCGCUCAGCCGGGCGUGCAGGGCUGCAGCGGCGCAAAGCCUAUUCCAGAGCGGCCGCAGCGGCGCGGGCAGGAGGGGUACCCAGGUGGGGCCGCGCGCCCUCCGCGGGGGAUAGGUGAUCCCGCUCCCGAGUCCGAGAGGGAGCCAGGUGAGCGUCCGCCCGGGUCCGCCGGUGACCAGAUCCAACAGCACCGAAGGCAAGUUCUGGCUGCCAAGAAGGGAGCUGCAGGGUUGAAGCAUCCUCUCCCAGCCUCCUCCCACAGGACCAAGUCCUCACCAUCAGUUUUCUCUGUCUUUAAAAAACAACUUUUUUCUUUAUAUAUAUAUAUAUUUCAUUGAAGUAUAAUUGACUUACAAUGUUUCAAGUGCACAGCAAGGUGAUUCAGUUAUAAAUAUACACACAAUAUAAAUAUACAUAUAAAUAUACACAUAUAAAUAUAUACAUAUCAGAGAAGGCAAUGGCACCCCACUCCAGUACUUUUGCCUGGAAUAUCCCAUGGAUGGAGCCUGGUGGGCUGCAGUCCAUGGGGUCGCUAAGAGUUGGAUACAACUGAGUGACUUCACUUUCACUUUUCACUUUCAUGCAUUGGAGAAGGAAAUGGCAACCCAGUCCAGUGUUCUUGCCUGGAGAAUCCCAGGGACGGGGGAGCCUGGUGGGCUGCCGUCUGUGGGGUUGCACAGAGUCGGACACGACUAAAGUGACUUAGAAGCAGCAGCAGCAUACACAUAUAUUAUUUUUCAGAUUAUUUUCCAUAAUAGGUUAUUAUACGAUAUUGACUGCAGUUCCCUGUAAUAUACAGUAAACUUUUGUUGCUUGUUGCAUAUCUUUUUUUUUAAUUAGAAAUCUAACAAGGUAUCAUUUAUAUGCCACAAAAAUAUCUGUUUUAAGUGUACAAUUCAAUGGUAUUUAGUACAUUUAAAGAGUUGUACAUAUCCUGUAAUCUAAUUUUAGAAUAUAUCCAUCAUCCCCCCCAGAAAGAAGCCUCCUGUGCAUUUGUGUUCAGACCCAAUUCUUACCCCCAGGCCCAGGCAACCACUGAUCUGCUUUCUGUCUGAACAGUUUUAUAUGCGGAUGAAACAGGGGAUGUCUUGCAAACAGUAUCUGCUGGGCACUUGGGAUGAAGCAAAACACAGACCAGUUGACUAUUUUUCAUAGUCUCAGAAAAAUAAAAAAAUUCAGUAACUUUAAGGUAUAAUAAUU